rnacentral:rRNA from 1 species
UCCGGAGGCUGCAAUCGUUAUCCGGAAUUAUUGGGCGUAAAGCGUCCGCAGGCGGUGGUUCAAGUCUGCUGUCAAAGCGUGGAGCUUAACUCCAUACAGGCAGUGGAAACUGAAUGACUAGAGUUCGGUAGGGGUAGCGGGAAUUCCCAGUGUAGCGGUGAAAUGCGUAGAUAUUGGGAAGAACACCGGCGGCGAAAGCGCGCUACUGGGCCGAGACUGACACUGAGGGACGAAAGCUAGGGGAGAGAAAGGG